AUGCCCGGUGGACGAACCACCCAUUCCAGGUUCAAAAUACCGAUUAGGCUCACGGACAACAACAUGUGCAGUUUCACCAAGCAGAGUGGUACUGCGGAGCUGCUUCAUAGGGCAUUGUUGAUAAUAUGGGAUGAAGUUGCCAUGACAAAGCGUCAAGCAGUAGAGGCACUUGAUAGGUCACUACAAGAUAUCAUGGGAAGUGAUUUGCCUUUUGGGGGGAAGGUUGUUGUGUUUGGAGGAGAUUUUAGGCAGGUCCUUCCUGUGGUGACACGUGGGACAAGGGCACAGAUCACUGACGCAACACUACCGAGAUCUUAUCUAUGGGAGAAGAUUAAGAAAAUACGACUGAGGCGUAAUAUGAGAGCACAAACUGACCCCUGGUUCUCCAAAUAUCUCCUAAGAAUUGGGAAUGGAACGGAGGAGACGAUUGGUGAUGAUUAUGUGCGUCUUCCUGAUGACAUUGUGAUAGGGUACACUUCCACAGAAGAAUCGAUAAAGAAGCUUAUCGAAGAAGUCUUCCCAUCACUGCAUGAGAAUGCUGCAUCUGGAGCCUAUAUGAGCACACGUGCUAUCCUUUCUACCAAGAAUGAGCAUGUGGACGACUUGAAUGAAAAGAUGAUUGACAAAUUUCCUGGCCAAGAAAAGGUAUACUAUAGCUUUGACUCCGUCGAUGAUGAUGCACACAAUAACUAUCCAAUUGACUAUCUAAACUCGAUCACCCCAAAUGGCUUGCCCCGACAUGUUCUGAAAAUCAAGGUCAAUUGUCCUGUCAUUUUGCUCCGAAAUCUCGAUCCUCACAAUGGGCUAUGUAACGGAACAAGAUUGAUGAUUAGAGCGUUCCAAGACAAUGCAAUAGAUGCCGAGAUUGUUGGUGGACAACAUGCUGGAAAGAGAGUGUUCAUACCUAGGAUUCCUUUGGCACCCUCCGAAGACAUAUCACUUCCUUUCAAGUUGAAGAGGAAACAAUUCCCGAUUCGCUUGAUUUUUGCAAUGACCAUAAACAAAGCCCAGGGGCAAACUCUAGCAACUGUUGGUAUUUACCUUCCUGAGCCCGUCUUCUCACAUGGCCAGCUAUAUGUUGCACUGUCAAGGGGAGUUUCAAGGCAGACCACUAGGAUUUUGGCCAAGCCAAAUAAGGACAUAGAUCCCACAGGGAAAAGCACCAAAAACAUUGUGUAUAGAGAUGUUUUGGAGGGAUGA
rnacentral:rRNA from 1 species